CGGGUGAGUAAUGCAUAGGAAUCUGCCCAGUAGUGGGGGGAUAACGUGGAGAAAUCCACGCUAAUACCGCAUAUGUCCUACGGGACAAAGCAGGGGACCUUCGGGCCUUGCGCUAUUGGAUGAGCCUAUGUCGGAUUAGCUAGUUGGUAGGGUAAAAGCCUACCAAGGCAACGAUCCGUAGCUGGUCUGAGAGGAUGAUCAGCCACACUGGGACUGUGACACGGCCCAG
rnacentral:rRNA from 1 species